rnacentral:rRNA from 1 species
GACAAACGCUGGCGGCGUGCUUAACACAUGCAAGUCGAACGAUGAAGCUAGAGCUUGCUCUGGUGGAUUAGUGGCGAACGGGUGAGUAACACGUGAGUAACCUGCCCCGAACUCUGGGAUAACUGCUGGAAACGGUAGCUAAUACUGGAUACGACCAACGAAGGCAUCUUCUGUUGGUGGAAAGAAUUUCGGUUCGGGAUGGACUCGCGGCUUAUCAGCUUGUUGGUGAGGUAACGGCUCACCAAGGCGACGACGGGUAGCCGGCCUGAGAGGGUGAUCGGCCACACUGGGACUGAGACACGGCCCAGACUCCUACGGGAGGCAGCAGUGGGGAAUAUUGCACAAUGGGCGCAAGCCUGAUGCAGCAACGCCGCGUGAGGGACGACGGCCUUCGGGUUGUAAACCUCUUUAAGUAGGGAAGAAGCGAAAGUGACGGUACCUGCAGAAAAAGCACCGGCUAACUACGUGCCAGCCGCCGCAGUAA